CUACGGGUCGCUGCAGUGAGGAAUAUUGCACAAUGGGGGGAACCCUGAUGCAGCAACGCCGCGUGGAGGAUGACGCAUUUCGGUGUGUAAACUCCUUUUAUGUGUCAAGAAAAUGACGGUAGCAUAUGAAUAAGCACCGGCUAACUCCGUGCCAGCAGCCGCGGUAAUACGGAGGGUGCAAGCGUUACUCGGAAUCACUGGGCGUAAAGGACGCGUAGGCGGGUUGGAAAGUCAGGUGUGAAAUCCUACAGCUUAACUGUAGAACUGCACUUGAAACUUCUAAUCUAGAGUAUGGGAGGGGGAGAUGGAAUUAGUGGUGUUGGGGUAAAAUCCGUAGAUAUCACUAGGAAUACCUAAAGCGAAGGCGAUCUCCUGGAACAUUACUGACGCUAAGGCGUGAAAGCGUGGGGAGCAAACAGGAUUAGAUACCCGAGUAGUC
rnacentral:rRNA from 1 species